AGCAACGACCAUACUACGUCAAAUGCACCGGUUCUCGUCCGAUCACCGAAGUUAAGUGGCGUCAGGCGCGGGUAGUACUUGGAUGGGAGACCACUUGGGAACUCCGCGUGUCGUUGUUC